UCUCNUACGGGAGGCAGCAGUGAGGAAUAUUGGUCAAUGGGCGAGAGCCUGAACCAGCCAAGUCGCGUGAGGGAUGACGGCCCUACGGGUUGUAAACCUCUUUACAAGGAAUAAAGGACNNCACGUGCU
rnacentral:rRNA from 1 species